UGAUAGUGCAACUAUGAUCAUGAGACUGAAAGCCAAAAUCCAAGCUCUUGAAGAACAAAUGAGUUCUGCGACUGAAAAGAGUUCAAAGUAUGGCCAAAUAGCUGCAGAAGAAGUUCCAAAAGGUCUGCCUUGGUAUUCAGCUAACUACUGAAUGGUUUGGAAAUUUGAAUUUGCAGCGGAAAAUCAAUGAAAGAAUGCACAUAGAAUCAAAACUUAGAGAUAACAAUCUUUAUCAUUUUUGUGUUUUCUCUGACAACAUACUUGCGACUUCAGUUGUGGUCAAUUCAACUGCAUU
rnacentral:misc_RNA from 1 species